UACGUAGGGACCAAGCGUUGUUCGGAUUUACUGGGCGUAAAGGGCGCGUAGGCGGCAUGACAAGUCACUUGUGAAAUCUCCGGGCUUAACUCGGAACGGUCAAGUGAUACUGUCGCGCUAGAGUGCGGAAGGGGCAAUCAGAAUUCUUGGUGUAGCGGUGAAAUGCGUAGAUAUCAAGAGGAAUACCUGAGGUGAAGACGGGUUGCUAGGCCGACACUGACGCUGAAGCGCGAAGCCAGGGGAGCAAACGGG
rnacentral:rRNA from 1 species